rnacentral:misc_RNA from 1 species
AAAGUCGUAACAAGGUUUCCGUAGGUGAACCUGCGGAAGGAUCAUUAGUGAAUUGAGCUGGCUUCGGCCGCUCUGAUCUAUACACACCUGUGAACUGUUGGCCUUCGGGUCUUUAAUUACAACUGUGACGAACGUAAAUUAUUAUAACAAAUAAAACUUUUAACAACGGAUCUCUUGGCUCUC